ACCGUACUCCUACGGGAGGCAGCAGUGGGGAAUAUUGGACAAUGGGCGAAAGCCUGAUCCAGCCAUGCCGCGUGUGUGAAGAAGGUCUUCGGAUUGUAAAGCACUUUAAGUUGGGAGGAAGGGCAUUAACCUAAUACGUUAGUGUUUUGACGUUACCAACAGAAUAAGCACCGGCUAACUUCGUGCCAGCAGCCGCGGUAAUACGAAGGGUGCAAGCGUUAAUCGGAAUUACUGGGCGUAAAGCGCGCGUAGGUGGUUCAGCAAGUUGGAUGUGAAAGCCCCGGGCUCAACCUGGGAACUGCAUCCAAAACUACUGAGCUAGAGUACGGUAGAGGGUGGUGGAAUUUCCUGUGUAGCGGUGAAAUGCGUAGAUAUAGGAAGGAACACCAGUGGCGAAGGCGACCACCUGGACUGAUACUGACACUGAGGUGCGAAAGCGUGGGGAGCAAACAGGAUUAGAAACCCGAGUAGUCCUUGAC
rnacentral:rRNA from 1 species